rnacentral:rRNA from 1 species
GGCGGCGUGCCUAAUACAUGCAAGUAGAACGCUGAAGAGAGGAGCUUGCUCUUCUUGGAUGAGUUGCGAACGGGUGAGUAACGCGUAGGUAACCUGCCUGGUAGCGGGGGAUAACUAUUGGAAACGAUAGCUAAUACCGCAUAAAAUUGAUUAUUGCAUGAUAAUUAAUUGAAAGAUGCAAUUGCAUCACUACCAGAUGGACCUGCGUUGUAUUAGCUAGUUGGUGAGGUAACGGCUCACCAAGGCGACGAUACAUAGCCGACCUGAGAGGGUGAUCGGCCACACUGGGACUGAGACACGGCCCAGACUCCUACGGGAGGCAGCAGUAGGGAAUCUUCGGCAAUGGGGGGAACCCUGACCGAGCAACGCCGCGUGAGUGAAGAAGGUUUUCGGAUCGUAAAGCUCUGUUGUAAGAGAAGAACGGGUGUGAGAGUGGAAAGUUCACACUGUGACG